GCCCUGGGCCAUAGCUCAGCAGCAGAGCACCUGCUUGGUAUGCAGAAGGCCCCAGGUUCAAUCCCCAGCCUCUCCAGUCAGAGCU